GACGAACGCGGCGGCGUGCUUAACACAUGCAAGUCGAACGAAGAGCGAUGGAAGCUUGCUUCUAUCAAUCUUAGUGGCGAACGGGUGAGUAACGCGUAAUCAACCUGCCCUUCAGAGGGGGACAACAGUUGGAAACGACUGCUAAUACCGCAUACGAUCUAAUCUCGGCAUCGAGGAUAGAUGAAAGGUGGCCUCUACAUGUAAGCUAUCACUGAAGGAGGGGAUUGCGUCUGAUUAGCUAGUUGGAGGGGUAACGGCCCACCAAGGCGAUGAUCAGUAGCCGGUCUGAGAGGAUGAACGGCCACAUUGGGACUGAGACACGGCCCAGACUCCUACGGGAGGCAGCAGUGGGGAAUCUUCCGCAAUGGACGAAAGUCUGACGGAGCAACGCCGCGUGAGUGAUGACGGCCUUCGGGUUGUAAAGCUCUGUUAAUCGGGACGAAAGGCCU
rnacentral:rRNA from 1 species